rnacentral:rRNA from 1 species
CUCCGGUUGAUCCUGCGGGACCUGACUGCUAUCGGAUUGGUACUAAGCCGUGCGAGUCAUUGUAGCAAUACAAGGCGGACGGCUCAGUAACACGUAGUCAACCUAACUCGUGGACGUGGAUAACCUCGGGAAACUGAGAAUAAACCACGAUAGAUCAUAGUGCCUGGAAUGGCUUAUGGUCCAAACAGUUUACUGCCAUGGGAUGGGACUGCGGCCUAUCAGCUUGUUGGUGAGGUAAUGGCCCACCAAGGCGAUUACAGGUACGGGCUCUGAGAGGAGAAGCCCGGAGAUGGGUACUGAGACACGGACCCAGGCCCUAUGGGGCGCAGCAGGCGAGAAACCUUAGCAAUGUGCGAAAGCACGACUGGGUCAGUCCGAGUGAUUCCUGAUAAAGGAGUCUUUUGCUUGUCCUAAAAGCACAGGUGAAUAAGGGGUGGGCAAGUCUGGUGUCAGCCGCCGCGGUAAUACCAGCACCUCGAGUGGUCAGGACGUUUAUUGGGCCUAAAGCAUCCGUAGCCGGCUCUGCAAGUCUUCGGUUAAAUCCACCUGCUCAACAGAUGGGCUGCUGGAGAUACUACAGAGCUAGGGAGUGGGAGAGGCAGACGGUAUUCAGUGGGUAGGGGUAAAAUCCUCUGAUCCAUUGAGGACCACCAGUGGCGAAGGCGGUCUGCCAGAACACGUUCGACGGUGAGGGAUGAAAGCUGGGGGAGCAAACCGGAUUAGAUACCCGGGUAGUCCCAGCUGUAAACGAUGCAAACUCGGUGAUGCAUUGGCUUAUGGCCAAUGCAGUGCCGCAGGGAAGCCGUUAAGUUUGCCGCCUGGGAAGUACGGACGCAAGUCUGAAACUUAAAGGAAUUGGCGGGGGAGCA